rnacentral:rRNA from 1 species
GGCGGACGGGUGAGUAACGCGUAAGGAACUUGCCUCUUGGACUGGGACAACUGUUGGAAACGACAGCUAAUACCGGAUAUUAUGAGAUUCUCGCAUGAGAAACUUAUGAAAGCUAUAUGCGCCAAGAGAGAGCCUUGCGUUCCAUUAGCUAGUUGGUGGGGUAACGGCCCACCAAGGCGACGAUGGAUAGCCGGCCUGAGAGGGUGAACGGCCACAAGGGGACUGAGACACGGCCCUUACUCCUACGGGAGGCAGCAGUGGGGAAUAUUGGACAAUGGGCCACAAGCCUGAUCCAGCAAUUCUGUGUGCACGAUGAAGGUCUUCGGAUUGUAAAGUGCUUUCAGUUGGGAAGAAGAAAGUGACGGUACCAACAGAAGAAGCGACGGCUAAAUACGUGCCAGCAGCCGCGGUAAUACGUAUGUCGCAAGCGUUAUCCGGAUUUAUUGGGCGUAAAGCGCGUCUAGGCGGAAAAAUAAGUCUGAUGUUAAAAUGCGGGGCUCAACUCCGUAUUGCGUUGGAAACUGUUUUUCUAGAGUACUGGAGAGGUGGGCGGAACUACAAGUGUAGAGGUGAAAUUCGUAGAUAUUUGUAGGAAUGCCGAUGGAGAAGUCAGCUCACUGGACAGAUACUGACGCUGAAGCGCGAAAGCGUGGGGAGCAAACAGGA